ACGCGAUUGGCUGGCGCCGCUAAGGAAGUCCUGCGGGGAAGUAGAGCUGGUGGCAAGGAGACUCCGGGGGUCGCGGCGGGAGCCUGGAAGUGUGUGAAUUUCUCUGACAUCCGAAUCGCGAGCGGAGUCGGCUUGUCCCGCAGAGAGCUCCCGGGACAGGGCAGGAUUCUAGCGGUUUUGUUUUUGUUUUUAAGGGGAGGGGGUGUAAGGGAGGAGGAGAAUGGACAGAAUACUGGCUGGAACGUUAAUUGGAGCAUUUCAGAUGUGAAGAGUAGAGUAGUUCCGUACUCUUCUUUCUUCAGUUGCUCCAUCAGUCUAACUUCAUUUUUGAAUUCUCAACUUUGAAACCGGCCAGAGUGUUUGGCAGAAUUUGACCGAAUUCAGGUGUGAGGGUUUGAGCCAGUAUAAGUGCCUUUUAAUUAGGGCACGCAAUUCAACCACUGUUUACGAUGGGAUUUCUGAAGACCUGUGUACUUAGAAGAAAUGCAUGCACUGCGGUUUGCUUCUGGAGAAGACAAGUUGUACAAAAGCCUUCAGUGAGAAAGAUUAGUACUACCUCUCCAAGGAGCACUGUCAUGCCCGCUUGGGUGAUAGAUAAAUAUGGGAGUAAUGAAGUGCUUCGAUUUACUCAGAACAUGAUGAUACCAAUGAUACACUAUCCAAAUGAAGUCAUUAUCAAAGUUCACGCUGCGAGUAUAAAUCCUAUAGAUGUUAAUAUGAGAAGUGGCUAUGGAGCUACAGCUUUAAAUAUGAAACGUGAUCCUUUACAUAUUAAAAUCAAAGGAGAAGAAUUUCCCCUGACUCUGGGCCGGGAUGUGUCUGGUGUGGUGAUGGAGUGUGGACUUGAUGUGAGGUACUUCAAGCCUGGCGAUGAGGUCUGGGCUGCAGUUCCUCCCUGGAAGCAAGGCACUCUCUCAGAGUUUGUUGUAGUCAGUGGGAAUGAGGUCUCUCACAAGCCCAAGUCACUCACUCAUGCUCAAGCUGCCUCUCUGCCAUACGUGGCCCUCACAGCCUGGUCUGCCAUAAACAAGAUUGGUGGCCUGAAUGAUAAGAAUUGCACAGGAAAACGUGUUUUAAUCUUGGGUGCUUCAGGCGGAGUUGGUACUUUUGCUAUACAGGUAAUGAAAGCGUGGGAUGCUCAUGUGACAGCAGUCUGCUCUCAGGAUGCCAGUGAACUUGUAAGGAAGCUCGGGGCAGAUGAUGUAAUUGAUUACAAAUCCGGAAAUAUGGAAGAGCAGUUGAAAUAUUUAAAGCCGUUUGAUUUCAUUCUCGACAGUGUUGGUGGAUCCACUGAAACAUGGGCUCUAAAUUUUCUCAAGAAGUGGUCGGGAGCCACGUAUGUGACUUUGGUGACUCCUUUCCUCCUGAACAUGGACCGGUUGGGCAUAGCGGAUGGCAUGUUGCAGACAGGCGUCACCGUGGGCUCUAAGACAUUGAAGCAUUUCUGGCAAGGAGUCCAUUAUCGCUGGGCUUUUUUCAUGGCCAGUGGUCCAUAUCUAGAUGACAUUGCAGAACUGGUGGAUGCGGGAAAGAAAAAAUGUAACGGCUAGGGACUGAAUCCCUGGGACCACUACGAGAGUGUUAUCUUGCCAGAUGUGCCUUUGUUUAGGAAGGGAAAGGACAAUCAGAGAGCCUGAAUUUGGGUCUGAGACUGGGAUGAACGCUGCCGCCGUGGACUCCCGGUCAGCCGUGCGCCCCGCGCGUCCGUGUCGCCCUCGAGUGUGGUAUCGAGCCCGCCGCUUUAUACCAGGGCUCCCUGAGCCGGCCAGACUACAGCAGUGUCAUCACAUAAAUGUCCCCACCUCACCAUUCAGCCAGUUAUUGAGAAAACCUUUCCGUUUUCUAAAGUUCCAGAAGCCUUCCUGAAGGUAGAAAGAGGACACGCGCGAGGAAAGACCGUCGUCAGUGUCGUUUAAAUAAACACUCAGUUCGGUGCCUGUGGGCUCUUAUUUGGUGAGUGCCUGUAGGCCCCGACUCUUUUCCAGCCGUCCCUUUCCAGCUUAGACUAGAAGUUCCAUGAAAUAAAUUUAGCACACACACGUUUCUGCCAGUCAUUUCCUGUCUGCUGAGCUGAGCAGAGACUGAUUUUAUAGCCACAGCCCCACCCUCUGUCAUCACCUUGCUCUGCCCAGAGCGUUCUCGCGUCACCUGCCCCGACGCGGCCGCGCACCGUCCGCCGAGCUCCUCCAUGCCAAGCGCAGGGGAUACACACGUAAGCAGGGACAAGAUAUGAACAUCUCUGCACUUGGACUUGUCUAUAAAGUUGCUGAAAAUUGCCUAUUGUUUUUUCAAGCUGUUCUUUCACAGCAGAUUUGCAAAUUGUGGCGGCACCUUCUGUUCCAGUAGCUCAAACUCUGUUUGUUUUAUCAUCUUAAUAAUUGUGAGAGAUUAGAACUUUCAGCAUGUGGAGGGAUGGCAGCAUGAAGAGCUUACCUAAAGCUAAUUCCUUCUUAGGGUCAUAGUGAGCACUUUUCCCACUGGCCAAAGUUUCCUUUGAUUUUUAUUCCAUCUGCUCCAGUGUACGGUCAUAACAGCCCUCAGAGUUAUGAAUCUCUUAGGGUCAUAUGUAAAAAUCUCGCCAGCGAUUUGGUUGUUUACGCUUUUAGAAAAUGAAAUGUGAUGUAAAGUUUGUAACUUUUUAAAACACUUACUUUUUUGCAUAAGGCUAGUCCUCUUUCGGCAACGGAAACGUGCUUCUCUGGGGACUUUUCCGUGGAAAUUACCACCCUUCCAUUGGGGACCAGAGUUCUCCAGUUUGACCUGAAAUGCUUGCAUUUAGGUAUCUCGCCAAUAAACCCGUUGCGGCUUUUGAGUCUCUA